UCUAGGUAAACUGUGCCUGGACCAAUGAAACUAUGAUAUGUUGUUUUAAACCACUAAGUUUGUGGUAAUUUGUUAUGUAAAUUAACAAACCUUUCUUCCUGUCUUUGAGUGUUACUUCCUGACUUCUCUCCAUCUCAUGUUAUCAAGAAAUAUUUAUCAAGUACCUCUUAGGUGGCAGGUACUAUGGCUACAAUGGUGUGAACCCAAAUAGAUGUGAAUUCUAAUCCAGAAGGGAAAACAGACUUGUAACAAGAAUGACAAAUGCUGUGAAAGUCAUGAGAUACAAAGAGGGCAUAUAAUAGGAUUUUCAGAACUUAUUCAACUUUUAAAAACUUAUGCUUUCCACACUGCUUUCUGUGAUGGUUAAUUUUGAUUGUCAAUUUGACUGGAUUGAAGAAUAUCUAGAAAAUUGAUACUGAGAAGUGGGGUUAUUGUUGUGACUGACUGUGGUUCAGAAGCCUUUGGAAUUGGCUCAUGGGAAUAGUUUGGAAAAGUUUAGGUGUGGAAUACAGAAAGCAAUAAGCAGAGCUUAAGAGUGGUUCUGAUGUGGGCACAAGAGACUGAUAAAAAUGCAGACAGUAAAGGCCAGACUGAAGAUGUUUCAGAUGGAAAGGAGGACUGUGUUGGAAACUGUACAAAAGCUAUCCUUGUUAAACCAAGGGCACAGAAUUUGGAUACAUUUUGUCCAUUCCAUGAUACUUUGUGGGAGGCUGAGUUUAAAGGUGAU
rnacentral:lncRNA from 1 species